rnacentral:misc_RNA from 1 species
CGCUCUCUCUCCCUCUCUCUCUCUUCCCUUAGGGUAUAAGAAACAGAAAGCCUUGCUUCUCUGCUGCAUUUUCCAAUAUACAAUGUUGCAGUGCUUAAUAGAUAACUUGAUGACUACGUUUGCCUCUUUGGAUUGUCUAUACUUGUGACAUGUUUCGAUUCGUGCGGCUUUGAUUUCUUACCCUUGCAUUUGUCUAUGUUUAUUCCUUUCAUUUCAAUUUAUAUACUCUCACGCUUUUCCUCUAAUAUUCUUCAAGAAUUUUCAACCUUGAGUCUUGACUGGUGAAUUUUCAUGAACAUGUAGUUGUACAGGCAAGUUUUAAAGAAACAUCAGUACUUAUUAUUUCCUGUUCCUUCUCUUAGGCUGCCAAAUUCUUUCAGAUGUUAAUUUCCUAACAUGCAAGUUGAAAAUGAUUAUUUUUCUUACAAUGGAUUCAAUUUAUUGGUAUAUGUUACUGAGAAUGUUGAUUUGUGCAG